CCCCCCCCCCAGAAAGCCAGAAACCCAGAAACCGCCUGGUGACCGAGGGAAGGUCAACAGGUGCUGGCGAUCAACAAGCGAUGGGGAUUCUCCUUUUCUUCCCCCUGAAUCAAGCGUGAAACACCGAACCUUCUUCUCUCAGAAAUACAUCCAUAUCAAUUGUUUUUUAUUCGCGUGAAACUAGUAACAGCGCAAUCUAUUUUGAAGCAUAGAUGACAUGUACAAGGUUCAAAAACAGCUUUAUUAGCAUCAAGGCAUGUUGUUCAGUCUGUACGACCCCUAACCCCCCAACAUGUGGCUUUCUUUUCUGUAUCCUUUCUGCUGUGAAGUUAUAAUUUGUACAUCAUCCCAAAAAGCUUGUGUCAGUGAAUUAAAUUGAUUUUCAUCGUCAAGGA